rnacentral:rRNA from 1 species
GUAGGUGGCAAGCGUUGUCCGGAAUUAUUGGGCGUAAAGCGCGCGCAGGUGGUUCGUUUAAGUCUGAUGUGAAAGACCCCCGGGCUCAACCCGGGGAGGGUCAUUGGAAACUCGGGGAACUUGAGUGCAGGAGAGGAAAGUGGAAUUCCACGUGUAGCGGUGAAAUGCGUAGAUAUGUGGAGGAACACCAGUGGCGAAGGCGACUUUCUGGCCUGUAACUGACACUGAGGCGCGAAAGCGUGGGGAGCAAACAGGAUUAGAUACCCUGGUAGUCCACGCCGUAAACGAUGAGUGCUAAGUGUUGGGGGGUUUCCGCCCCUCAGUGCUGCAGCUAACGCAUUAAGCACUCCGCCUGGGGAGUACGGUCGCAAAGACUG